ACGGGUGAGUAAUGUCUGGGAAACUGCCCGAUGGAGGGGGAUAACUACUGGAAACGGUAGCUAAUACCGCAUAACGUCGCAAGACCAAAGUGGGGGACCUUCGGGCCUCACACCAUCGGAUGUGCCCAGAUGGGAUUAGCUAGUAGGUGGGGUAACGGCUCACCUAGGCGACGAUCCCUAGCUGGUCUGAGAGGAUGACCAGCCACACUGGAACUGAGACACGGUCCAGACUCCUACGGGAGGCAGCAGUGGGGAAUAUUGCACAAUGGGCGCAAGCCUGAUGCAGCCAUGCCGCGUGUAUGAAGAAGGCCUUCGGGUUGUAAAGUACUUUCAGCGGGGAGGAAGGCGACGUGGUUAAUAACCGCGUCGAUUGACGUUACCCGCAGAAGAAGCACCGGCUAACUCCGUGCCAGCAGCCGCGGUAAUACGGAGGGUGCAAGCGUUAAUCGGAAUUACUGGGCGUAAAGCGCACGCAGGCGGUCUGUCAAGUCGGAUGUGAAAUCCCCGGGCUUAACCUGGGAACUGCAUUCGAAACUGGCAGGCUAGAGUCUUGUAGAGGGGGGUAGAAUUCCAGGUGU
rnacentral:rRNA from 1 species